rnacentral:rRNA from 1 species
CCUACGGGAUGCACCAGUGGGGAAUAUUGCACAACGGGCGCAAGCCUGAUGCAGCCAUGCCGCGUGUAUGAAGAAGGCCUUCGGGUUGUAAAGUACUUUCAGCGGGGAGGAAGGUGUUGUGGUUAAUAACCACAGCAAUUGACGUUACCCGCCGAAGAAGCACCGGCUAACUCCGUGCCAGCAGCCGCGGUAAUACGGAGGGUGCAAGCGUUAAUCGGAAUUACUGGGCGUAAAGCGCACGCAGGCGGUCUGUCAAGUCGGAUGUGAAAUCCCCGGGCUCUGCCUGGGAACUGCAUUCGAAACUGGCAGGCUGGAGUCUUGUAGAGGGGGGUAGAAUUCCAGGUGUAGCGGUGAAAUGCGUAGAGAUCUGGAGGAAUACCGGUGGCGAAGGCGGCCCCCUGGACAAAGACUGACGCUCAGGUGCGAAAGCGUGGGGAGCAAACAGGAUUAGAUACCCGGGUAGUC